GUAAACGGCGGCCGUAACUAUAACGGUCCUAAGGUAGCGAAAUUCCUUGUCGGGUAAGUUCCGACCCGCACGAAAGGCGUAAUGAUUUGGGCACUGUCUCAACGAGAGACUCGGUGAAAUUUUAGUACCUGUGAAGAUGCAGGUUACCCGCGACAGGACGGAAAGACCCCAUGGAGCUUUACUGUAGUUUGAUAUUGAGUGUUUGUGUCACAUGUACAGGAUAGGUAGGAGCUGAAGAAUCCGGGACGCCAGUUUCGGAGGAGGCAACGGUGGGAUACUACCCUUGUGACAUGACCACUCUAACCCGCACCCCUUACCGGGGUGGGAGACAGUGUCAGACGGGCAGUUUGACUGGGGCGGUCGCCUCCUAAAAUGUAACGGAGGCGCCCAAAGGUUCCCUCAGAAUGGUUGGAAAUCAUUCGUAGAGUGUAAAGGCAGAAGGGAGCUUGACUGCGAGACCUACAAGUCGAGCAGGGACGAAAGUCGGGCUUAGUGAUCCGGUGGUUCCGUAUGGAAGGGCCAUCGCUCAACGGAUAAAAGCUACCCUGGGGAUAACAGGCUUAUCUCCCCCAAGAGUUCACAUCGACGGGGAGGUUUGGCACCUCGAUGUCGGCUCAUCGCAUCCUGGGGCUGAAGUCGGUCCCAAGGGUUGGGCUGUUCGCCCAUUAAAGCGGUACGCGAGCUGGGUUCAGAACGUCGUGAGACAGUUCGGUCCCUAUCCGUCGCGGGCGUUGGAAAUUUGAGAGGAGCUGUCCUUAGUACGAGAGGACCGGGAUGGACACACCGCUGGUGUACCAGUUGUUCUGCCAAGAGCAUCGCUGGGUAGCUAUGUGUGGACGGGAUAAACGCUGAAAGCAUCUAAGCGUGAAGCCCCCCUCGAGAUGAGAUUUCCCAUCAUUUUAAAUGAGUAAGACCCCUGAGAGACGAUCAGGUAGAUAGGCUAGAAGUGGAAGUGCCGCGAGGCAUGGAGCGGACUAGUACUAAUCGGUCGAGGACUUAACCAC
rnacentral:rRNA from 1 species